rnacentral:rRNA from 1 species
GAUGAACGCUGACAGAAUGCUUAACACAUGCAAGUCGAUGGGGAAGUGGUGCUUGCACCCUGGCAACCAUGGCGGACGGGUGAGUAACGCGUAAGGGACUUACCUGCAGGACUGGGAUAACAGGGGGAAACUCCUGACAAGACCGGAUAAUGUCAUGGAGCUGCAUGGCUUUAUGAUGAAAGGAGACGCCUGCGGAGAGCCUUGCGUCCUAUUAGCUAGUUGGUGAGGUAAUGGCUCACCAAGGCGAAGAUAGGUAGCCGGCCUGAGAGGGUGGACGGCCACAAGGGGACUGAGAUACGGCCCUUACUCCUACGGGAGGCAGCAGUGGGGAAUAUUGGACAAUGGGGGCAACCCUGAUCCAGCAAUUCUGUGUGCACGAAGAAGGUUUUCGGAUUGUAAAGUGCUUUCAGCAGGGAAGAAGUAGGUGACGGUACCUGCAGAAGAAGCGACGGCUAAAUACGUG